rfam:Stegodyphus mimosarum contig101215, whole genome shotgun sequence.
GCCCUCUUGGUGUAGUGGUCAGCACGCUCGGCGCGUAUUCGAGAGGGCCGAAGUUCGACUCCCGGCGAGGGCA